UACGUAGGGUGCGAGCGUUGUCCGGAAUUAUUGGGCGUAAAGAGCUCGUAGGCGGUUUGUCGCGUCGACUGUGAAAACCUGGGGCUUAACCCCGGGUCUGCAGUCGAUACGGGCAGGCUAGAGUGUGGUAGGGGAGAUCGGAAUUCCUGGUGUAGCGGUGAAAUGCGCAGAUAUCAGGAGGAACACCGGUGGCGAAGGCGGAUCUCUGGGCCAUUACUGACGCUGAGGAGCGAAAGCGUGGGGAGCGAACAGG
rnacentral:rRNA from 1 species